rnacentral:rRNA from 1 species
GACGAACGCUGGCGGCGUGCUUAACACAUGCAAGUCGAACGAAGAGCGAUGGAAGCUUGCUUCUAUCAAUCUUAGUGGCGAACGGGUGAGUAACGCGUAAUCAACCUGCCCUUCAGAGGGGGACAACAGUUGGAAACGACUGCUAAUACCGCAUACGAUCCAAUCUCGGCAUCGAGACUGGAUGAAAGGUGGCCUCUAUUUAUAAGCUAUCACUGAAGGAGGGGAUUGCGUCUGAUUAGCUAGUUGGAGGGGUAACGGCCCACCAAGGCGAUGAUCAGUAGCCGGUCUGAGAGGAUGAACGGCCACAUUGGGACUGAGACACGGCCCAGACUCCUACGGGAGGCAGCAGUGGGGAAUCUUCCGCAAUGGACGAAAGUCUGACGGAGCAACGCCGCGUGAGUGAUGACGGCCUUCGGGUUGUAAAGCUCUGUUAAUCGGGACGAAUGGUUCUUGUGCA